CAAAUUAACCUGAGAGGAGUCAGUUUUUUACACUAACUGAAUAUUUGUGCAAUUCAAAUUAAUUUGA
rnacentral:tRNA from 1 species